UACGUAGGGUGCAAGCGUUGUCCGGAAUUAUUGGGCGUAAAGGGCUCGUAGGCGGUUUGUCGCGUCGGGAGUGAAAACUCAGGGCUUAACCCUGAGCCUGCUUCCGAUACUGCCCGACUAGAGGUAGGUAGGGGAGAUCGGAAUUCCUGGUGUAGCGGUGAAAUGCGCAGAUAUCAGGAGGAACACCGGUGGCGAAGGCGGAUCUCUGGGCCUUACCUGACGCUGAGGCGCGAAAGCUAGGGGAGCAAACAGG
rnacentral:rRNA from 1 species